AAGGUGCUUCAUGCUAAGUUCAAAAGAAACAAAAUACAUGAAGAGAGGAAAACUUGUAUUCCAUUAACCUUAAUUUAUCCAAUCUUAUUCUAUUUAUCUACAAUGUUUCAUGCUUUAAAACUCUUCCAGUUGCACGUGGUUUGUCUUACUCAAAAGAGUUGGGGUUUUGUUGUGUAAAAACGGCCAUAUUUGCCAGGCAAUAUUAUACCUCUUGUGGAUAUUAGACUUCGAGAAAAGCAGUACACACCUCUUCGAACUUUCAAAUAAUUAUCUAUGAUGUAAUUGACUACUGCUAUCUCUUAAAAUUAACAAAAUUUGGUUUCUUCAAAGGUCUAUCCAGUCAAAUUUCAAUAUUUCUACAGUUCAUUUUUUUACAGAAUGAUCCCCAUGGAGGCUGACAUGUUGGAAAUCAUU
rnacentral:lncRNA from 1 species